rnacentral:tRNA from 1 species
AAGGCAGUAGCUCAGCGGUAGAGCACUAGAUUGAAAAGUAUUGAAAUUACCCGAUGGGUCAAUCAAGACUUACUUCUCAAUGGGUUCUAGGGGUCGCUGGUUCGAAUCCAGCCUGCCUUC